UGGAGAGAAAGCCAGGAACCAGGCCUGCCGGGCCCCGCGGCCCCUCCGCGCCUCCCCCCUCCGCUGCCCCCGACUGCAGGAAGCCGGCCGGCGGGAACGCCCUGCCCGGCGGGUGGGAACGGCCCCGCCGGCUUCCCAGGCCCGCGGGGGCGCGGCGCGGCGCUGUCACUGCGGCAGGCGCGCCGCCUCCCGCGCCGCCCGCACUCCCGCUGCAGUCGGCCCAUUAGCAUUGCAGGAAAGUGCUGCAAUCCUGGUUCCUCCCGGGCGCCGGAGCGGAGAGACUGGGUCCCGCAGGCGCCUACACCCCACCCGCCCCGGAGCCCACGCCGCGGGGCCUUGGGCUGGGGAGGGAGAGGUGUCCGACCCUUUCUUUUGGGAGGUGAGACGCUGAGGCCUGAGGGUUUGUAGGUACGUCCUUACUCCACAGAGAUGGGGAAACUGCUGCUGGGAAGAGUUCAGUGACUUGCCCGAGGCCACCCAGCAAUCAUGGCUGCCUAAGUACACAGAUGAGAAACUGAGGUGCAGAGACUUGAAA